rnacentral:sRNA from 1 species
UGUUAAAAUGAGUAAGAAAAUCCAAGUAUUUUAGGGUAUCCAUGAGUUCAAAUUCGAUGCCAAGACAUGAUAAUUCUAAAUCAGAUUCAAGUUCAAAUUGAUAGGGAAUGGUAUCAGAUCCUAACAGUCGUGUGCUCGAGUAGAGCAAUCUAGGCAUGGUGUAGUUUUACUUCAAUUUCAUUGACUAUGCAUCAGACAACUAACAACGAGGGCACUGAGUUUAUCUGGUGAACCAAAAUGCUUACAAGGCUAUCUCAUCAUUGUCCCCUAUGCAUAUGCAAUGAUCCUAAAUGAAACACUCUAGACUCGAUCCUAAAUGCAAUGCAACUAUAUGAACACUCUGUUUUUGUGAAAUCAUUUUCUGAAAUUUUUCAAUUUUUUUUUUGGUUUUUUCUAUGCCUUAGAUGAAUGCAGACUCAAGAUUAUAUACAACGCAACACACACUUCCUGAGCCCUCCCCCAAACUUAAAUCACACAGUCCACUGUGUGACCAAAUUUGGAAGAGAGUACUCAGGACAAAACACAUCACAGAAACAAAAUAAAAACAGGAGAUGGUAUAUUACAAUGGUGGAGUGAGGUGCUUACCUCAGUGGAAGAAGGAGCGGAGUUGGUCAUCAACAGCCGCCUGUGAAUGCUCCCAGGCCAUCGAAGAAUCUCUCUGUUGUGUCUCAGCUUCCCCCUGGGGGUACUCAACCUCUGCUCCUUAGUCGCGGCCAGCACCGCUCUGAUGAUACUCGAUCUCUCUUUUUCUGCUGCGGCCAGCACCGCGAUCGCGUAAGCUACGGGACUGGAGAAGUCGUGUACUCCUGCUGCCAGACCGAGCGAGUGCAGCCUUCUUCUUUCUCCCGAGCUCCCGAGGCUCGAAUGAUGAAUGCCACGCAGGGACUUGUGAGACUACUCGGUCACUAGGCUCAGGCAUGUGGUGACUUGGCUCAGGCCUGUGGCGAGUUGGCUCUGGCGCGUCAUAUCUCCUCGAGGGCAUGUCCUGAGGAGGCUCUCCCUGCGGAAUCGCUGUGGUAGAAGAGGAGCAGCUUAGCUUGUCUGUCAGAAACUUGAUGGCCUUGAAGCACUUGAUGAGUAGCCUAUCUUGUUUCUUGCACCACCUCUGCAACUUACUGUUGUUUCUGUGAGCUUCGCUCAAGCUCUUGCUCUCCCUCGCUGGAGGUACAUGCUCACUGAAAUGAUACAUGCGCGUAUCGUACUCCUCCUCCCUAUCCUCAUCUGUCUCAGCAAUCUCAGCUUGGGUAGCUUCUUUGUAGGGACGUUGUCAUCAGUCGGUGGAGCGCUCUCAAAGUAGAGGUAAUCACGCGCAGGCUUGAAGUCAAUGUUUUCGCCCUGAAGUAUGGUUGUGGCCUCGGUGCAGGGAAGCAGAAUGUUGGCUGUUCGGGUCAAGGAGUGCUCAAAUUUGUAGCGAUAGAAAUCGCCAACCAUGUCGUGCUCCAGAAACUCACAACGACGCAAGUGAUCUAAAUCCAUCAUCCUCGGAUCAAACCCUGGAGACGUGAAAGGUACACCACAUGUAAUCAGAAUUGGUGUCACAACACCACCUACACAAAGGGCUCCUCGCGCCCUCUUCUUCCCGUUGGUGUGCGCCCACUUCCUGUAUCCACACAGGUGGAUCAACAGAAGCAUAACUGGUGGUGCAUCAUUGAGGUCGCCCUUCAGGACCUUCUUCCCCUUUGUUCUACGGAGAAUGCCCUUGAGUGCAGAAUUAAUCAUCUCCAUGUCUGUGUUAGACACGGUACCUGUAGAUUCCCUAGAGUACAGAACAUUCGCUAUAGAGCGUUGAUAGUAGCAGAUCACAGGGCUUCGAAUCUGGUUGCUCUUGGACCUCGCAGAGUUGAGCGCCAUAUCGUUCCCAAUAGUUAACCACAAAUCCUUCAACUCUUCCCUCUCUAACUUGGGUUUAGUUCCCUUUCCACUGGGUAAGCCAAACAAUCCUUCCAAGCUCCUGAUAGAUAGCUGGUAACACUGCUCGCUCACGGAAAAAGUCAAGAACCCCAACCCUUCACUCUCCAGCUCAUCUGCUGUAAGUCCCUGAUACAUCUCCACUUGCAGAGUGGAGAGAAACUCUCUUAUUUCCUUCUUGUAAGCGACGUACGGGUAAGACAUCAGUGUCUCCAGAUGACACUUCUCGAAUAGGUGUUGUACGUCCUCCGGUAGCCCCAGCUGGGCUAAAGUCUGAUAAUAGGGGUACUUCGUUCCCCAGAAGUCGUUCAGCUCGAAAAGUCUGAUGUACUCCUCCACUGGGACUUCAUUAGGCCUGUUCAACAGCUUCGUCUCUCUAUGCCAUGACUCAGGCUCAUACUCGACGUCAAUAUCAUCGUCGAUCAACUCAUAUCUGCUGGUCAUUGCUCUCUUUCCUCUAGCAAUCUCAGCUCUCCUCUCAUUGCGUCAAGUUACUGAGCGUUGGGUCUCCGCUCUGAAGCUCUCAUAAGCUUGUCGCUCUCUCUCUGGUCCAGUUGACCAAGAUUCAGCUUCAUCGAUGUUGUAAUCCGCAUCCAUGGAGGAUUCGCCACUGUAGUUACUCAUAUUGAUUUCCUGAAAAAGAAUGUAACUCAAAGCCAAACGUCAAUAUGUUAGUCCAAAUAAAUGCAAACACUAAACCGGUCAAGUACACGGUCGAGUAUUACGGUCGAGUACAGUGAAAUUAUGGUUUCGAGUUUAGCGGUAGAGUGAAGACGAAUGAGAGACGGUAAAUGCGUGGUCGAGUGAACGGCGAAUGGAGAGAAGACAGUGGCGGUUUGAGGAGCGGUCGAGUGAAGAGAUAAACGGAGGCGCAAUGAAUGGCGAGGUCGAGUGAACGGUGGAUAGUUGAGAGAUGGUGAAGCCGGUCCGGCGGUCGAGUAAAAGAGAGGGAACGGAGAUGAGGUCGAGUAGCGGUUGAGUAUGGAGAGGUGAGAAAAAGAAAUCGGAGUAGAGGUUGAGGUGCUCGUGCGGUCGAGUGAAGAGGAGGCGAGAGCGGUGAGAGAUGAUGAAACCGGUCCCGUCGUUGAGUGGAAGAGAGGGAGAAGGCAGUGGCGUGAGCGAUGAAAGCUGAAUUUUGGUCGAGUGAGAAAGUUGACGAAGUGGUGAGGGAUGGUGAAGUUGGGACGGCGAGGUCGAGUGAAGAGGAGGCGACGUUGAGACGGUGAAGGUCCGGCGGUAGAGUAGGCGGAGAAUAGAGAGGAGAGGCGUUUCGAUCGAGUGAAAGAGAGGCGGUGAGAGAGAUGUCGAGUGAUGUUUGGUCGAGUGAGAGACGUGACGGAGAAUGUGUCUGCGAGGUCGAGUGAAUGGAGAGGAAAAGAGAUGAUGUCGGUGGGAAAGGAUAGGGUGAGAUCGAGUGGUGGAGAAGUAGUCUUGGGAUUUCGUUAUCUCUAAAAACGCAUGUGGGAACAAAGGUGAGAGGUGGUGGGCCACACUCUGUCUGUUUGUCCUGAAGCACUGUUCUCUGUUGACUAGGAAUGUCUUAGAACCUUCUGUAAUCCUCUGUAAACUUGAUAAACUCUCUGUAAGUCUUUGUAGCUUCUGUUGGUCGAGUAUAAAUAUGAUUUCAAAAUUUUGGGUUUUUAAAAUCAUCACUAAUACUCGACCAAACUACUCGAUCUCAUGGUCUCUGAUUGCAACAGAACUUUU